rnacentral:rRNA from 1 species
UACGUAGGUGGCAAGCGUUGUCCGGAAUUAUUGGGCGUAAAGGGCGCGUAGGCGGCACUCUAAGUCAGAUGUGAAACCCCGGGGCUUAACUCCGGACGUGCAUUUGAAACUGGGGAGCUAGAGUGCAGGAGAGGAAAGCGGAAUUCCUAGUGUAGCGGUGAAAUGCGUAGAUAUUAGGAGGAACACCAGUGGCGAAGGCGGCUUUCUGGACUGUAACUGACGCUGAGGCGCGAAAGCGUGGGGAGCAAACAGGAUUAGAUACCCUGGUAGUCCACGCUGUAAACGAUGGAUACUAGGUGUGGGAGGUAUCGACCCCUUCCGUGCCGCAGUAAACGCAAUAAGUAUCCCGCCUGGGGAGUACGGCCGCAAGGUUGAA